rnacentral:rRNA from 1 species
UACAGAGGUCUCAAGCGUUGUUCGGAAUCACUGGGCGUAAAGGGUGCGUAGGCUGCGGAGUAAGUCGGAUGUGAAAUUUGGGGGCUCAACCCCCAACUUGCAUCUGAUACUGCUUCGCUAGAGACCUGGAGAGGAGUUUGGAAUUCUCGGUGUAGCAGUGAAAUGCGUAGAUUUCGAGAGACGCUCGCAGCGAAAGCGAAACU